UACGUAGGAGACGAGCGUUGUCCGGAAUUACUGGGCGUAAAGCGCGUGUAGGCGGAUGGGCAAGUCUGCUGUGAAAGCUCCUGGCUUAACCGGGAGUGGUCGGUGGAAACUGCCAAUCUGGAGGACGGUAGAGGUAGGUAGAAUUCCCGGUGUAGUGGUGAAAUGCGUAGAGAUCGGGAGGAAUACCUGUGGCGAAGGCGGCACUCUGGGCCGGAACUGACGCUGAGGAGCGAAAGCGUGGGGAGCGAACAGG
rnacentral:rRNA from 1 species